rnacentral:rRNA from 1 species
AGACCGGCGCACGGGUGCGUAACGCGUAUGCAAUCUACCUUUUACAGAGGGAUAGCCCAGAGAAAUUUGGAUUAAUACCUCAUAGUAUAGCAGUUUCGCAUGAAACCACUAUUAAAGUCACAACGGUAAAAGAUGAGCAUGCGUCCCAUUAGCUAGUUGGUAAGGUAACGGCUUACCAAGGCUACGAUGGGUAGGGGUCCUGAGAGGGAGAUCCCCCACACUGGUACUGAGACACGGACCAGACUCCUACGGGAGGCAGCAGUGAGGAAUAUUGGACAAUGGGCGCAAGCCUGAUCCAGCCAUGCCGCGUGCAGGAUGACGGUCCUAUGGAUUGUAAACUGCUUUUAUACGAGAAGAAACACUGCUACGUGUAGCAGCUUGACGGUAUCGUAAGAAUAAGGAUCGGCUAACUCCGUGCCAGCAGCCGCGGUAAUACGGAGGAUCCAAGCGUUAUCCGGAAUCAUUGGGUUUAAAGGGUCCGUAGGCGGUUUAAUAAGUCAGUGGUGAAAGCCCAUCGCUCAACGGUGGAACGGCCAUUGAUACUGUUAGACUUGAAUUAUUAGGAAGUAACUAGAAUAUGUAGUGUAGCGGUGAAAUGCUUAGAGAUUACAUGGAAUACCAAUUGCGAAGGCAGGUUACUACUAAUUGAUUGACGCUGAUGGACGAAAGCGUGGGUAGCGAACAGGAUUAGAUACCCUGGUAGUCCACGCCGUANACGAUGGAUACUAGCUGUUGGAAGCAAUUUCAGUGGCUAAGCGAAAGUGAUAAGUAUCCCCACCUGGGGAGUACGUUCGCAAGAAUGAAACUCAAAGGGAAUUGACGGGGGCC